UUAUAGAAUAAUCCAACUCUACCCUACCAUUCGUCGAGUAAUCCAGAGAAGUUAAAAAGGUUUCAAGAGACUAGCCAGCAUCCAUUGAUGCCACCUCUUGGAUCAACUGUUCCCUAUUCUUCAUCGAGUAAUCCGGAAGAGGUCAAAAGACUUCAAGAAACUAACCAGCAUUCGUCGGUGCCACCUCUUGGACCAACUUUGCCUUGCCAUUCGUCGAGUAAUUUGGAAACGUUCAAAGGAUCUGAAGAGACCACACAAAGUGUAAGUGAUUCGUCCACCAUGCCUAAUAGUGCAAAAAGCGAGACGGAUGUUGAAGGUACAUCACACGCAACUAAUCAAAGCUAUCAUAUUAAUAGCGAGGAUAAAGGAACAACAUCCGACAUACUUAAAGAGUCAGAGGGGACUAAUGAUGUAUCUGAUGAGGAUGAAAGAAUUGAAAUACCAAAAUUAGGUAGGAAUUUUGCCACUGAGAAAGAGCUUAUGCCUUAUUACAAACGAUAUGCCAAGCAAGUAGAUAAAUGAGGUGGCGAAAUAUUUAGUGACUAUGCUGAUUGUCAGAACUUUAUAGACAAAGUCGGACACUUAAGGCUUGGUAAAGGAGGUGGCAAAGCACUUUGUGACUACUUUCAUAGAAUGAGGGAGAUGGAUGAUGGUUUUGUUUCUAUUAUAGAUAUGAAUGAUGAGUUCAGAGUAAAAAAUGUGUUCUGGGCUAACGCACGUAGUCGAGUGGCAUAUAAGUAUUUUGGAGAUGUUAUCACUCUCGAUACGACGUAUCUAACAAAUAGAUAUGGUAUGCCUUUUGUUCUCUUUGUGGGUGUAAACCAUCAUGGCCAAUCUAUACUGUUAGGGACUGGCUUGAUUUCAAGUGAGGACACAAGUACGUUUGUCUGGUUGUUCUGAGCAUGGUUAAUGUGCAUGAAUGGUCGGGCUCCCAAAGCCAUAAUAACAAAUCAUGAUCGAGCAAUGAAGAAUGCUAUUUCUACUGUAUUUCCAAAUACUUGUCACAGAUAUUGUCUCUGGCACAUCAUGCAAAAGCUUACAGAAAAAUUGGGAUCCCACACCCAAUUCAACGUUGGGUUGAAAACUUCUAUUGAGAGUGCUCUAUAUGAUUCGCAAACUUGUGGAGAAUUUGAGGACAAGUGGAGGCAACUACUUAAUAUGUAUAAUCUUGGUUCUAAUGCAUGGUUGCAAGGGUUGUACAACGAGAAGACUUUUUAGGUACCAGUUUACUUGAAAAAUGUAUUUUGGGCUGGUAUGAGCAUUACAAAACGAUCUGAAAGCAUGAAUGCUUUUUUUGAUGGGUUUGUGCAUUCUAGUACAACAUUGAAGGAACUUGUUGAUCAAUUUGACAAUGCUCUAAGGAACAAGGUGAAGGUUGAGGCAAAGGUUGAUUUCAAUUCCUUCAACCAAACAAUUCCAUGCAUAUCCCCGUUUGGCAUUGAGAAACAGUUUCAAAUGAUGUAUACUAAUGCAAAGUUUAAGGAGGUCCAAGAAGAGGUAUUGGGGUUGAUUUUAUGUAAUUGCACACUUGUUAGCACUAAAGGUUGUGUUUCCACAUUUGAUGUUUUGGAUCAAAUUUCCAUUGAUGAUGACCAUGUUAAAAAUGUGCAUUAUUCAGUUUACUACAACGAAGAGGAAUGCGAAUUUAAAUGCAUGUGUGCGUUGUUUGAGAUGAGGAGAGUUUUCUGUAGGCAUGCAUUUGCUGUAUGUCGUAUGAAGAAAAUUAAUGUGCUGCCGGAAAAAUAUAUUUUGGAUUGAUGGAGAAAAGAUUUAAAGAGGAGAUACACACUGGUCAAAAGUAGUUAUGAUGACUUGCGAGGCAAUGCAGAUGCACGUAGGUAUGAGGUUGUGGUGAAAAGAUGUUUGAAAUUAGCAACACGUGUAUCCCAAAGUGAUGAGCAUUACAAUGCUUUUUUACGCCUGUUAGAUGAAUUUGAGCAUAAAUUUGAAGGCUUAACAUUUGAGUCAAGACCCUACUCAACCAAUGUUAAAGAAAAAGUGGUCGUGGAGAAAGGUAGAAAGAUAUCAAGCCCCCACGUCCAGGGUAAAGGGAGAACCCCAACGAAAAGGAAGGUUCCGGUUGUAUAAAACGACGCAACCAAGAGAGAAAAAACAGACUUGCAGGAAAAUCUUCGAUGAUGAAUCCCAUUCAAGUGAGCUUUUGCUAUCUCAACUUGUGUUAGUGUUGAUAGUUUUGUUGGUUGAAUCUAGCAUAGUAUUGUCACACAACCAACGUUAUUGGAUAAUGAGGAGGUGUGAAAAAUGUGACUAAAUUGCACUUAUGUAAUACUGUCGACAUUCCAAGCUCAAAGGUGCUAUUUCAUGGAGAAGCUGAGGCCAUUUUAGAAUCUGUGUUGCUUUCAUCAAAUUGUUAUUGUGGAGUAGUUGCUAGCAAUGUAAUUUGCAAUUAGUACCUUGUUGUGCUCUGUAAUUUGUUAUAGUUGUAGUUGUAAUUCCUGUUUAACUUUGCCACUGUAUUUUGACACACUUCAGUGGCAGGGUUUUAUGUUCUAGCC